GUGUAUGGCUUUAAGUUUACAUAUUCUUGUCGUUCUAGCAAGAGGAAUGAGAUAGACAGAGUGAUCGGAAACGAGUGAGUGAAAAAGUAAGAGAGGGGUGGGCCGGACAAUUGUAUUGUUGGUGAAUUCCAUAGCUGUCCUUCUAUGACAUUCUGUCGAGACAGUAUUGCAAAGCGGUCGGCCUGCUCUCUAUCUGUUGCUUCUCCAAAUGAUUGUAUUUACAACAAACAUACACAACAACUAUACAGGUGUGCAUACCGUUGCGAACAAGAGGUGGGUCGAAGUAGGUCAACUGUAAUUAAAAUCAAAUCACGACGGGCAAGCGUGUAUA